CAGGCGCGAAAACUUUACAAUGCUGGCAACAGCGAUAAGGGAACCUCGAGUGCCAGGUUACAAAUCUGGCUGUCGAGAUGCCUAAAAAGCAUUUCAUAGCAAGGGCCGGGCAAGACCGGUGCCAGCCGCCGCGGUAACACCGGCGGCUCGAGUGGUAACCGUUAUUAUUGGGUCUAAAGGGUCUGUAGCCGGCCGGAUAAGUCUCUUGAGAAACCUGGCAGCUUAACUGUCAGGCUUUCAGGAGAUACUGUCUGGCUCGAGGCCGGGAGAGGUGAGAGGUACUUCAGGGGUAGGGGUGAAAUCUUGUAAUCCUUGAAGGACCACCAGUGGCGAAGGCGUCUCACCAGAACGGACCUGACGGCAAGGGACGAAAGCUAGGGGCACGAACCG
rnacentral:rRNA from 1 species